GCCAUCAUUCAACCUUAUUAAUUUUAUUUUUAGAUUUUCCCUUCUCUGUUAUGAAGGGCUUAAAAAGAAAUAACAAUAAAUAACAAAAGAUCAAAGUGAUUAAAUGAGCUAAAGAGACAAACAUAUUUUACAUAUUGAUGUAAGAAACAUUAAUUAUAAUUAUGAUUUUUUUAAAUAAAAAAAAACAUGGAAUUUUUUCCACACUAUAAAAUCAUGAAACAAUUCCUUCUACUAGAUUCAUAAAAGAAAAAAUAUGGCUAAAGUGUAUAUGUUUAUUUAUGCUAUGAUUAUGUUUUAUUUCAUGUUUAUUUCUUCAACAAUAUCUAAGCCUUGCCACAAUAAUGAGGAAUGUUCAGAUCAUAUAUGUAUCCAUCCUGAAGCCGUGCCAGAGUGCUUGUUUGAUAUAUUAAAAAGGGUAUUCUUUGACUUAAAUGGCAAAUCGGUUGGGACUUGCAUAUGUGGCAUGUGAAUGUGUGAUGAAGUUGUAAAAGUUAAAUAAAAAUAAUAAUAUUAUCUUGUUCCUACCUA